GAAAUAACGUCCCAGUUCGGAUUGUAGUCUGCAACCCGACUACAUGAAGCUGGAAUCGCUAGUAAUCGCGGAUCAGAAUGCCGCGGUGAAUACGUUCCCGGGUCUUGUACACACCGCCCGUCACACCAUGGGAGUCGGAAAUGCCCGAAGUCAGUGACCCAACCGUAAGGAGGGAGCUGCCGAAGGUGGAGCCGGUAACUGGGGUGAAGUCGUAACAAGGUACC
rnacentral:rRNA from 1 species